AUUGAACGCUGGCGGCACGCUUAACACAUGCAAGUCGAACGGCAGCGGGGGGAGCUUGCUCCCUGCCGGCGAGUGGCGAACGGGUGAGUAACGCGUAGGGAUCUGCCUGUUAGAGGGGGAUAAGCCGUGGAAACGCGGUCUAAUACCGCAUACGCUCUAAGGAGGAAAGUAUGGGACCGAAAGGCCAUACGCUAACAGAUGAACCUGCGUUAGAUUAGCUAGUUGGUAGGGUAAAGGCCUACCAAGGCGACGAUCUAUAGCUGGUCUGAGAGGAUGACCAGCCACACUGGAACUGAGAUACGGACCAGACUCCUACGGGAGGCAGCAGUGGGGAAUAUUGGACAAUGGGGGCAACCCUGAUCCAGCGAUGCCGCGUGUGUGAAGAAGGCCUGAGGGUUGUAAAGCACUUUAGUUGGGGAGGAAAGCCUGAGGAUGAAUAAGCCUUAGGGGAGACGUUACCCAAAGAAUAAGCACCGGCUAACUCUGUGCCAGCCGCCGCGGUAA
rnacentral:rRNA from 1 species